rnacentral:rRNA from 1 species
UAAUACGGGGGGAGCAAGCGUUGUUCGGAUUUACUGGGCGUAAAGGGCGCGUAGGCGGCCAGCGCAAGUCAGUUGUGAAAUCUCCGAGCUUAACUCGGAAAGGUCAACUGAUACUGCGCGGCUAGAGUGCGGAAGGGGCAACUGGAAUUCUCGGUGUAGCGGUGAAAUGCGUAGAUAUCGAGAGGAACACCUGCGGCGAAGGCGGGUUGCUGGGCCGACACUGACGCUGAGGCGCGAAAGCUAGGGGAGCGAACGGGAUUAGAUACCCCGGUAGUCCUGGCCCUAAACGAUGAAUGCUUGGUGUGGCGGGUAUCGAUCCCUGCCGUGCCGAAGCUAACGCAUUAAGCAUUCCGCCUGGGGAGUACGGUCGCAAGGCUG